rnacentral:rRNA from 1 species
UACGAAGGGGGCUAGCGUUGCUCGGAAUUACUGGGCGUAAAGGGCGCGUAGGCGGCCUUCUAAGUCGGACGUGAAAUCCCUCGGCUUAACCGAGGAACUGCGUCCGAUACUGAAAGGCUUGAAUCCGGGAGAGGGAUGUGGAAUUCCAGGUGUAGCGGUGAAAUGCGUAGAUAUCUGGAGGAACACCGGUGGCGAAGGCGGCAUCCUGGACCGGCAUUGACGCUGAGGCGCGAAAGCUAGGGGAGCAAACGGG